ensembl:snoRNA SNORD62 Small nucleolar RNA SNORD62
CCCCUCUGACAUCACAAUAGAUCCUUCUGACCCUCCACUGUGGACUCAAUACCACAGUUUCUUAAUCCAGUCAUCUACCAAUGGGC